CAUUGAAGUUAGCAUUUGAUUAAUAAUUAGUCUAGUAUCACACCAACAAGUUUCCGUAACACACCUUCACGCUCACACUCCAUCUCGGCGCCCAACAGAAUCUCAACUCCCCACACCUCAACACCGAUAACAACUCCAAAGGCGGAAAGACGACACACUUUCCCAUAGCCCAAAGCCUAACACCCCUUACAAGGGGAACCAACAAAACUAGCUUCCCAGCU